AUUGAACGCUGGCGGCAUGCUUUACACAUGCAAGUCGAACGGCAGAGCGGGCUUUGGCCUGGCGGCGAGUGGCGAACGGGUGAGUAAUGCAUCGGAACGUGCCCGGUAGUGGGGGAUAGCCCGGCGAAAGCCGGGUUAAUACCGCAUACGACCUGAGGGUGAAAGUGGGGGACCGAAAGGCCUCGCGCUAUCAGAGCGGCCGAGGUCGGAUUAGCUAGUUGGUGGGGUAAAGGCUUACCAAGGCGACGAUCCGUAGCUGGUCUGAGAGGACGACCAGCCACACUGGGACUGAGACACGGCCCAGACUCCUACGGGAGGCAGCAGUGGGGAAUUUUGGACAAUGGGGGCAACCCUGAUCCAGCCAUGCCGCGUGCGGGAAGAAGGCCUUCGGGUUGUAAACCGCUUUUGGUCGGGAAGAAAUCCUCUGGGCUAAUACCCCGGGGGGAUGACGGUACCGGAAGAAUAAGCACCGGCUAACUACGUG
rnacentral:rRNA from 1 species